rnacentral:tRNA from 1 species
AUCCGUCGAUUUCAAAAAUCAUGAGGGUUCAAGUCCCUC